rnacentral:lncRNA from 1 species
CAUUAAAAAAAAAAAUAAGGCUAGAUUAUAAAAAAUUCUCUUACAAAUAUUCACUUUUUUACUCUCUUUUAUUUUUUAAAAAUUUAUGUUUUACUCUCUCAACAUUUUAAAUUGUUGCAUAUAAUCUCUCUAUGUCAGGGUGUCAUCACUAUUUUGUCCUUUUUCUCUAUAAUUUAUAUAAAAAAUGACCUUCAGAAUAAUAUAAAUACAUUAAAAUUUAUUACUUAUUUUUAUAAAAAAAUAAAAGUAAUUUGAUUAUUUUGGCAUCUUCAUUAACGUCGUACUUUUCUGACAACAUUUCUAAAAUGUUACGAAAACAAAAAAUAAAUUUUUAAAAGUUAGAGAAAGUGAAAAAACGAAUAUUUAUAUAGAAUUUUUUUGUAAUUUAGACAAAAAUUAAAAAUUAUUCGUUUAUAUGUAUUUUGUUU